CCUACGGGAGGCAGCAGUGGGGAAUAUUGGACAAUGGGCGCAAGCCUGAUCCAGCAAUACCGCGUGUGUGAAGAAGGCCUUCGGGUUGUAAAGCACUUUCAAUGGGGAGGAAAACCUGCCGGCCAAUACCCGGCAGCUUGACAUUACCUAUAGAAGAAGCACCGGCUAACUCCGUGCCAGCAGCCGCGGUAAUACGGAGGGUGCGAGCGUUAAUCGGAAUUACUGGGCGUAAAGCGUGCGUAGGCGGUUCGUUAAGUCAGAUGUGAAAGCCCCGGGCUUAACCUGGGAACGGCAUUUGAUACUGGUUAACUAGAGUUUAAUAGAGGGGAGUGGAAUUUCACGUGUAGCGGUGAAAUGCGUAGAUAUCUGAAGGAACACCAGUGGCGAAAGGCGACUCCCUGGAUUAAAACUGACGCUGAGGUACGAAAGCGUGGGUAGCAAACAGGAUUAGAUACCCUGGUAGUCCACGCUGUAAACGAUGUCAACUAGCCGUUGGUCCUAUAUACAGGAUUAGUGGCGCAGCUAACGCAUUAAGUCGACCGCCUGGGGAGUACGGCCGCAAGGUUAAAACUCAAAUGAAUUGACGGGGGCCCGCACAAGCGGUGGAGCAUGUGGUUUAAUUCGAUGCAACGCGAAGAACCUUACCUACCCUUGACAUCCAGAGAAUCUGUUAGAGAUAGUAGAGUGCCUUCGGGAACUCUGAGACAGGUGCUGCGUGGCUGUCGUCAGCUCGUGUCGUGAGAUGUUGGGUUAAGUCCCGUAACGAGCGCAACCCUUGUCCUUAGUUGCCAGCGCGUAAUGGCGGGAACUCUAGGGAGACUGCCGGUGAUAAACCGGAGGAAGGUGGGGACGACGUCAAGUCCUCAUGGCCCUUAUGGGUAGGGCUUCACACGUAAUACAAUGGUCGGUACAGAGGGUCGCCAACCCGCGAGGGGGAGCCAAUCUCAGAAAGCCGAUCGUAGUCCGGAUUGUUCUCUGCAACUCGAGAGCAUGAAGUCGGAAUCGCUAGUAAUCGCGGAUCAGCAUGUCGCGGUGAAUACGUUCCCGGGUCUUGUACACACCGCCCGU
rnacentral:rRNA from 1 species